rnacentral:rRNA from 1 species
UUAACCGAAUAGGGGAGCCGGAGGGAAACCGAGUCUUAACCGGGCGUUAAGUUGCAGGGUAUAGACCCGAAACCCGGUGAUCUAGCCAUGGGCAGGUUGAAGGUUGGGUAACACUAACUGGAGGACCGAACCGACUAAUGUUGAAAAAUUAGCGGAUGACCUGUGGCUGGGGGUGAAAGGCCAAUCAAACCGGGAGAUAGCUGGUUCUCCCCGAAAGCUAUUUAGGUAGCGCCUCGUGAAUUCAUCUCCGGGGGUAGAGCA